rnacentral:rRNA from 1 species
UACGUAGGGGGCAAGCGUUGUCCGGAAUUAUUGGGCGUAAAGAGCGUGUAGGCGGUCCGGUAAGUCAGCUGUGAAAGUCAAAGGCUCAACCUUUGAAAGCCGAUGGAUACUGUAGAGCUAGAGUCCGGAAGAGGCGAGUGGAAUUCCUGGUGUAGCGGUGGAAUGCGCAGAUAUCAGGAGGAACACCAAUAGCGAAGGCAGCUCGCUGGGACGUGACUGACACUAAGGCGCGAAAGCGUGGGGAGCGAACAGG